rnacentral:rRNA from 1 species
AACGAACGCUGGCGGCAUGCCUAAUACAUGCAAGUCGAACGAGACCUUCGGGUCUAGUGGCGCACGGGUGCGUAACGCGUGGGAAUCUGCCCUUGGGUUCGGAAUAACAGUUGGAAACGACUGCUAAUACCGGAUGAUGACGAAAGUCCAAAGAUUUAUCGCCCAGGGAUGAGCCCGCGUAGGAUUAGCUAGUUGGUGAG